rnacentral:rRNA from 1 species
GACGAACGCUGGCGGCGUGCUUAACACAUGCAAGUCGAACGGAAAGGCCCUGCUUUUGUGGGGUGCUCGAGUGGCGAACGGGUGAGUAACACGUGAGUAACCUGCCCUUGACUUUGGGAUAACUUCAGGAAACUGGGGCUAAUACCGGAUAGGAGCUCCUGCUGCAUGGUGGGGGUUGGAAAGUUUCGGCGGUUGGGGAUGGACUCGCGGCUUAUCAGCUUGUUGGUGGGGUAGUGGCUUACCAAGGCUUUGACGGGUAGCCGGCCUGAGAGGGUGACCGGCCACAUUGGGACUGAGCUACGGCCCAGACUCCUACGGGAGGCAGCAGUGGGGAAUAUUGCACAAUGGGCGGAAGCCUGACGCAGCAACGCCGCGUGCGGGAUGACGGCCUUCGGGUUGUAUACCGCUUUCGCCUGUGACGAAGCGUGAGUGACGGUAAUGGGUAAAGAAGCACCGGCUAACUACGUG